rnacentral:rRNA from 1 species
CCUACGGGCGGCAGCAGUGAGGAAUAUUGGUCAAUGGACGAGAGUCUGAACCAGCCAAGUAGCGUGAAGGAUGACUGCCCUAUGGGUUGUAAACUUCUUUUAUAUGGGAAUAAAAUGUUCCACGUGUGGGAUUUUGUAUGUACCAUAUGAAUAAGGAUCGGCUAACUCCGUGCCAGCAGCCGCGGUAAUACGGAGGAUCCGAGCGUUAUCCGGAUUUAUUGGGUUUAAGGGGAGCGUAGGUGGAUUGUUAAGUCAGUUGUGAAAGUUUGCGGCUCAACCGUAAAAUUGCAGUUGAAACUGGCAGUCUUGAGUACAGUAGAGGUGGGCGGAAUUCGUGGUGUAGCGGUGAAAUGCUUAGAUAUCACGAAGAACUCCGAUUGCGAAGGCAGUUCACUGGACUGCAACUGACACUGAGGCUCGAAAGUGUGGGUAUCAAACAGGAUUAGAUACCCCGAUAGUC